rnacentral:rRNA from 1 species
UACGUAGGGUGCGAGCGUUGUCCGGAAUUAUUGGGCGUAAAGAGCUCGUAGGCGGCUUGUCGCGUCGGAUGUGAAAGCCCGGGGCUUAACCCCGGGUCUGCAUUCGAUACGGGCAGGCUAGAGUGUGGUAGGGGAGACUGGAAUUCCUGGUGUAGCGGUGAAAUGCGCAGAUAUCAGGAGGAACACCGGUGGCGAAGGCGGGUCUCUGGGCCGUAACUGACGCUGAGGAGCGAAAGCGUGGGGAGCGAACAGG